CUGACAGAAACGAAAGCAAAUUGCAAAUGCAAAAAAUUAUUUCAUUUCUAAAAAAUACACGAGGAUAUGAACUGCGACACUUCACACCGGCAGAGGUUUUGUUGGUGCUUCGUGAAGUAUACCAACGUAAAGCGUUGCAGUUCAUACCCUCAUGUAUUUUCAAUGCAUGUGAUUUCAUUGCAUUUUUUAAAUGCGCAUAAAAUAUGCAACUCAUCGAAAUACAUGUAUAUCUCGAGAACAGUAAUACAAUCAAAGUACUUUUUUUUUUUAUUUCCAUUUGAUGUCAAUCUUUCAGCAUAUACAGUGUAACAUGCGCUGAUUUAGUGUUGGGAUCGGGUGGUCCGGACCCACCCACCCACCCCCCCUUUUUUUUUUAGGAAUUUGCAAAAUAUAUUUCAAAUUGCAUGAAAAACUGAGUUAUUACAUCUGUACGAUAAGUAAUGAGGAUGGACUAUCAUGAAAUAAUUGCUAAAGUGUUAUCAAACGAAGAUAUACUGGACAUGUUUGUUUAAAACCCUUCUUUUCUUACAGUUGACAUAUUUACCGGUGACUGACGUAAGACUUUUAUUUAUCCUCGAUGUUUGACCACAUGAUGGGAUUCGACGUAUUAAUACUUGCACCUUUCACUGUUUUCCCAACAACAAACUUCUGGACAAUAUAAACCAUUGUCUGACAGUAUUAUACAGCAUUGUCAGAAAGUCACUGACGUUAGUUCAGUUUAGAUUUUCACUACAUCAUUAAAAAUAUCAUUUAUCAGGCAGGGAAACCGAAGAUUUUGUCAACAAGUCUCUUUGACUAAAUAACACCACAAUCCAGAAAAAAAAUCAGCACAUGUUGAAACGUUUAGUCAUCUUUUGUCUCCUUGGCAUUGGAAAAAUCGGAUAAAAUGGCAAUAUGUGUCGUGUGGGUAUUUCAACCCCGCCCCUUUUCCUUUUGUACUGUUUCAAUGAUCACUGGUCCAUAACGCUCAGAAGCUCAUUUUAAAGGGACUGGAGGGUUUUUUUUUCUUGCCAACAGUUCGAUCCCCCCUUGAAAAAAAAAUUCCUGGAUCCAUGCAUGCUAUGAUCACAUUUUCAUACUAGUUAAUCAGAUUCCGCUACUUGAACCCUUUGUAUAUCGACUUAAUGUAACAUUUACACCAUUUUAUAUCGACUCAAUAUUAUAUUACCAAGAUUUGUUGUCCUACUGUGUGCUAAUCAAGCAUCUUCCAUACACAUUACUUUGUGAUAAUGCACAGAUGUGCACCGGUAAUCGAAACCAUGUGCCACCACUUGCAGGGAUGGAUCACAUCUCCGACACUGGUUCCGUCUCAAUAUCAUACCAUUCAAUUACUCAUUAUUAACACCAUGCACAGAAACAUCCAGAUCUAGUUUUGUACGCGCAUGUGUUUACUAGCAAAGGAACAGUAUUACGAAAUGAAUUAUUUGUCAACACUACAACAUCUACAAAACAAAAAUCAUUCAGUUAACUAAGACCUUAGAUCGUCCCUUUCCACAUAUGAAAAGUACGAUUUCACAGAAUUGGAUAAUUUCAUUCCAUAUAAUGACCAGACUUUGCAUUCAUUUCCUGACUGUAUACGAUUUACGGUUAACUCUUCUAAUUGUCGUGUCAAAUUCAAUUACGAGUAUGUCCUAAAAUACAAAGGUUAAUUAUUAAAAGUAAUAAAACUCGUCACCUAUUUCAUUUCCUAGCUGGACGACUUUAUCCAUUCUAGAUCCGAUUGCAAUUACAUCCAAAGUUUGUAUCAAUAUCCAUAGAAAUCAAGUCGAGACCACUGAUACAAUGUUACGACCAGUCUACCAAAAUCUGUAACAAUGUGUACAUAUCCACGUUUUCAUCUCCGAUGAAUUUUGACGUUAAUGAUGUUUUAGAGGUUGCCCGUCUAUCAAUUCCUCGUGGAACCUUGUCAGCACUGAUCUUCUUAUCCAACUUUUCUGCGAAAAAAUCUGAUUGCACGCGCGGCGCUCGUACGCAAAAUAAACAGAUCUUGUCAAUAUUUAUUCCAGUAGUUAAAAUAGAUUUUAAGUAUCCUAGGUGUAAUUUCCUGGUGAAGUAUUGGACACAACUUCAGAGUAUUGAGAAACACAAGAAGAACCCCUUGCCAUGGAUAUGACGUAAUCACAGUAAAGGUUGAAACCACCAAUCCCAAGACGACUAGACCUGACUCCGUAUGACUUGUAUUUGAAUGACAUAAUUGGCUUUGUUUACAUGGUUUUGCUCACAAUACCUGCAGAAAGCUGUGUGAGUGUUAUCUGCGCAAUGUUUGAGAUUAUUUUCGAAACGUUUGAUUGUAAUCUUUUAACACAGCUUCUUCUAUCCCUUCACGCAGAUGAUACUUUUUUCCCGAAACGACUGAAGAUUGCACCAAAGAGAAAACCAUGCUACCACUUAGAUGCCUGGUGUAGUUUUUGAAUAGCUUUGAUCAAUCCCUUAACCUAAUAAAUGUGGACUUGUAUGUUACUUAUUAGUACAAUAACUGGCACUUCAUUUAGCAUUUGUUUGACAGUAAUCACUUAUCCGCAAUUUGAGCGUUACAUAACACGUGGUGUCUUGGGGAAAAGAUUCUGUAGGUUCUGAUUAAACGUGCGGUGUAAAUUGUUUCGUCAUAGGUCAUAGGUUAUUGGGUUCUCAGAUGGACACUACUAUCAUGCUACAUGUAGCUUUUGAUUUUCUAAAUUGUUUAUUAAACGUAAUACUGUAUAUUUCAGUUCAUACAAUAUUCUAUUAUGUGUAAAACAUAAAUGAAUUAAAAUGAAAUAGCCUAUGCAAGUAUACAAGGCAGUGAAGAAAUGUAUCAAGAAUUACACAUAGAUAAAAAUAAAUAAUCUAUUUCUGUGACAAACAGAAA